GGAUGAACGCUGGCGGCGUGCCUAAUACAUGCAAGUCGAGCGAAUGGACGAGAAGCUUGCUUCUCUGAUGUUAGCGGCGGACGGGUGAGUAACACGUGGAUAACCUACCUAUAAGACUGGGAUAACUUCGGGAAACCGGAGCUAAUACCGGAUAAUAUUUUGAACCGCAUGGUUCAAAAGUGAAAGACGGUCUUGCUGUCACUUAUAGAUGGAUCCGCGCUGCAUUAGCUAGUUGGUAAGGUAACGGCUUACCAAGGCAACGAUGCAUAGCCGACCUGAGAGGGUGAUCGGCCACACUGGAACUGAGACACGGUCCAGACUCCUACGGGAGGCAGCAGUAGGGAAUCUUCCGCAAUGGGCGAAAGCCUGACGGAGCAACGCCGCGUGAGUGAUGAAGGUCUUCGGAUCGUAAAACUCUGUUAUUAGGGAAGAACAUAUGUGAAAGUAACUGUGCACAUCUUGACGGUACCUAAUCAGAAAGCCACGGCUAACUACGUG
rnacentral:rRNA from 1 species